rnacentral:rRNA from 1 species
CGAACGCUGGCGGCGUGCUUAACACAUGCAAGUCGAACGGAAAGGCCCCUUUGGGGGUACUCGAGUGGCGAACGGGUGAGUAACACGUGAGUAACCUGCCCUUGACUUCGGGAUAACUUCAGGAAACUGGGGCUAAUACCGGAUAGGAAUCCUUGCUGCAUGGUGGGGGUUGGAAAGCUUCGGCGGUUUUGGAUGGACUCGCGGCUUAUCAGCUUGUUGGUGGGGUAGUGGCUUACCAAGGCUUUGACGGGUAGCCGGCCUGAGAGGGCGACCGGCCACAUUGGGACUGAGGUACGGCCCAGACUCCUACGGGAGGCAGCAGUGGGGAAUAUUGCACAAUGGGCGGAAGCCUGAUGCAGCAACGCCGCGGGCGGGAUGACGGCCUUCGGGUUGUAAACCGGUUUCAGCAGGGGCGAAGCUUGUGGUGACGGUACCUGCAGAAGAAGCACCGGCUAACUACGUG